UAAGUUGCCAUUUGCUUUGGAGUUUCUAUAUCUCGCAAACACACGCACACACACACUUGCAGUCAGUAGCUGAGCAACCAAGAUGAUUAGCCCAAAGGAGGAUAGAAUUUCUCAAGGAGCAAUCCAGUCAUACUGUGGUUCCUGCCUUAAGAGUAGAGAAUGGCUUCUUUAUUACCCCCCUAUGUCCCUUAUAAGAAUUGAAGGAGGCUGCAUUUCCUUUUUUUCUUUUCUUAAUGUGAGUUUCUCCAGAGAUAUCCUGCCAGGUCUAGCAAUGGCAGCCCAAAAAGGUUUACAGGCACUUUGCAAGACAGGAGCUGUUUUACAGUGUAUGUAUGUGCUGUUUUUUUUUUUCUUUUGGUCAUUGAUUUUACUUCUUGGAUUACUCCCCGUGGAAUAUUACGCUAUAAAUCCAAGUAUGCUUUACUAAUGUACACCUCAAGGUGUCCCUACAGUGUAACAAUGAGAGGACUGAGAGCAGUGUAAUUUCCCAAUGUACUGUACCAUUGUCACAGCACCUAAAAUCAGAUCUGCUGACUGUAACUAUGGAAAGGAUAUUUUUCUAUUUAGCUUUAUUUUCUCCAAAACAGAUGUUUUAUUCAAUACUGUCUGCUCAGCUCAUCCCACAUAAUCAUAGAUAUUUAUCUGAGAGGGACCAGCAUGUAUGUGAAAAGGGCAAUUCAUCCUUAUGUGUAAAAAUUCGCCCACAUACCCAUGGGUUGACUAUCGAUAGAAUGGCAAGUAUAAAGGGAAUGUAAGCACUGUUAAUAAUUCAUGUAGGCACACUCCAUUAACUAUGCCACAGUAUUGGCCUGAGGGCCAUUUUAGAGUGGGAUGGAGGAGAGACUAGCUCACUCCACAGAGAGCUAAGUGCUGUGAUCCCUUAAAUCUAUUGAGCUAAAAAACAUAUCUAUAAUUAUGAGAAUGGAAAAAAAUAAAAAUCAGAUGUUUGGGCAUUAAUAGUAAAGUGCACUGAAUAUCGCACGCACAAUAAGUUUUGUAUUUAUUUGGCAGUUUCAGGAAAUGGCACUCAUAACGCUUUAUAUCUAUUUCUUUUUUUAAGUUUAGCAACAGUGAUUGGUAACUUUCGAAUUCUA
ensembl:lncRNA